UUUUUGUUCUUUACUCUUCCCCUCCCCUUUUCCCCCUCCUUUUUCUUUCUCUUCUCUUUUCUCUCUUCUUUCUUCUCCCUUCUUUCUUUUCCCCUUCCCCGUGAUACUUUUUUCUUCCUCCCCUUUUCUCCUUCGUUUCCCUCCUUGCCCUUUUUUCUUUAUUCCAUUUUUCGUUUUACUUCCUCCAUUUUAGUUUUCUUUUUUUCUUGUUCUUAUUUACUUUUUUUGUAAAGGUGUAUCCCUUUACACCUCUAUGUACUCUUUUCUUUCCCCCUUUUUUCUUCCCAUUUUCCACCUUCUUUAUUUUGCUUUCCCCUCCUUCUUCUUGUUUCCUCCUUCCCCCACCCUUUUUAUUUUUUUCUUCUUUCCCCUCCCCCCAUAUUUUUUGUAGGGCUGGUGGGGUUUUUUUUCCUCUCCUGCUUUGUUUUUACUUUUUUUUUUUUUUUUUUUUCCUUGCAUUUCCGACAGCCAGCCGCGCAAGAAGCAGCUGGUACAGAUUUAACCCUCUGCAAUCCCAUCUCCCACCAUGGAAAACUGAGCACAGCCAAGCCGUUGGACAACCUAAUUCCCAUUCCUACUUCCCGGGGAACGGGCGCGGCAGAGAGGGCUUGCGCCUUUGAGUUCUUCAAAUUAAUAACCCUGGGAAGGGCAGAGAGCCGGCAGAUGAAAGGCAAGGUACGGACUUUGAUCGUGCAAUCGGAGCCAUGCGGGCAGGCUCCCGAACCAUGUGGAGCACCCCUGAAGGUCAGCCUGGGCUGAUCAGAUUGCAGCAAGAGAGCCACGGAAAGCAGGGCAAACGGAGGUGGAAAAAUCUAUACACCCAAAUAUCUGCCAAGAGAUGAAAGAAAAGUUUGCCUCUGAUGCUGGGAUUUAUGAAUAAGGAUCAGCUGGCUGCACAACACCAUGCAUCCCUAUGAAUGAAUGAAUACCUUUCAUGAGGAAGAGCGAGCACAUGGAAAAGUGAUGGCUCUGCUACUCCUAAACUCUGGAAUUCUCUUGAUGUGCUGUUACAAGCCAGAGAGGAUCACACAGAGCACUGCAUACAUACGUACAUAUGCUUUAUCCAGUGAUCUCUAUUGAAGCAAACCUGAAGAAGGCUGCAGAUGAUGUACACAUUUCAGCUAUUAAAGGUCAUGGAUAAUUCAGCUAUUUAUCAGUUCAAGUAAGGUCAGUGUUACAUCCACGGGCAGAGAGCUCUGCCUGUUGCACAAAUGACACUGCCUGCCCUUAAUGCCCCGAGAAACUUUUGACAAGCUAAGCAUAUGUAACAAGCCACAAGCCUUACAUACAACUGCUGCAGUUCAUUAAUGUUCUACAGGAGGGUAUCAUAUCUGAAAUGGGUUCCAUUUCUCUAUCACAGCGCAUUUCCUCUCCUCUAAAGCACUCCACUGGUGAUUUCUGAGAAAGAAAUUGUAUCCCCUGAUGGAGAAGGAAAGCUCACUAACUAGUGAAUUGGUGGUUGUGGCUCUCCCCAAGAACCAUUCUACUUUGCUGCUAUUUAGGAAUAUUGUACCCCACAUACUAAACUAUUGGUUCAUUUACUUUUUUCAUACAUACAGAAAAAGGGACCUUGGAAAACAAUAUGUGCCAGUUUUAGACUUCUACUGGAGCUAAAAUCAGGCUCUUGGUUGAAUUCCAUAACACAUAGUUUUGGAGGAAAACACUGUUAUGUAACUCUUCUUUUUCCCUUUCUGGGAGACAACCUUGGUAGAAGAGUGUGUGAGAGGCAGUGAAAUCUUUUGCAGGCCUUGAAACAGAUGGCAAAGUAGGAGGGCAGAAGGUUACCUUAAGGUCAGGGUGUUUCCCAUCCUUAUUAGUAUAUCCAAAUGCUACAGGCAGGCAGGAACACUUCUGCUACAUUCACCUCCAAGAAACAACUUCUCACUUGAAGUAAUUUGCCCUGCAAAAUCCAGAACUAAAGGCAGUAUCUUCUUCCUGGAAGCCUUGUUAUUAUACAAAUAAGGACAAAGAAAUGAAGCAUAAUUUCAAAUGUCUGUCCCUAAAUAACCAAUCUACCUUUCAAGAACUAAAGGUCUCACCAUGCUCCUAUAUGUGGCAUGGAAGGUGGUCAAAAGCGAUGAAGUUUGAAACCCAGACACCACAACUUUCCUGAUGUGCCUCACUCAGCCCUUCAAACAGGAGAGCAAACUCAGGAAGUCGUAGGUUGCAUCUUAGAACCAUUUAGUCAUUUAGGUUAGAAAUACCUCUAAGAUCAUCGAGUCCAACCACUAACACGGUGCUGACAAGUCCACCACAAACUAUGUCCCUAAGUGCCAUGUAUACACAUCUUAAAUACCUCCAGGGAUGGUGACUCAACCACUUCCCUAGGCAGCGGUUUGAAUGCUGAAGAAUCCUUUUGUUCUUUCAUUCUAAACCCAACUGAAUAUUAAAUUGUCAUAGAAACAUUAAGAGAAGGCCCCAGUCAUGCUGCAAAAAAGUCCCAGAAGUGCAUUUGGCUGUCCAUGGAUAGUGAAAUUAACCAUGAACUUUACAGAGUGACUCCUUGCAUGAAUGCUGUAAGAUUUCUUUUUAAUUAUAAGAACAAAAAGGGGGAAAAUUAGAUGUUAAAGUCUUUCACUGUUCUCACAGCUUAAAUACCUAUGGGCACUAAAUCAACACAAGUACGAUGAUGAAAUUAGUAAGUAAACAACUACAACCUUCACUGCUGCACAAAGAAGCUUGAAACCAAAGAUCAAUAUGAGUGAUCCCAACUCCAAAUGUGUAACCCAAAUCUAGAAGAAAAUGUCUCCUUAUGUGAGAUCAUAGUGGGGCCCAAGUGGCUUCAAGAAAAAGCAUACACGAACCACUCUCCCCUGUGAAAGCUCAAAAUUGGAUGCUCAAGUUAACCACCUGUGAGUUUUCCCACAGAAGCAGGACCUUGAACAGUGUUACUGCUGGCACCAGAUUCCCUGCAAUGACCCGGCAGCAUGUGAUUACCACAUAAGCUUCUCUUUCCUCCCCCAAAAACAAGCACAAAAAAUGAAGGAUGCUAACAGUCAGUGUCAUUAGGCACUGGAGAUCAUUGCACCUGUAACUCCCUACAUUUACUUCCCUCUUGGAGGAUUAUUUUAACAGUCUACUAAAUAACGUUAGCUAGCAAUGAAACAAGAACAGAUAACAAACUGAGGAUCUCAAUUUUCUACAGCUGAACUCCCAGCCUCUAUCACUGGAGUAAAAGUCCAAGUGAUGAAAUAAACCUUGAACUUUGUUGCUUUACUCAUCAUUUUUUGAAACAAAAGAGCACCUUGUCCCAGACACCGCAAUUUAGCAACUUCAUCUGUAUACGUGUCAGAAAGAGGGAGCAGAAAGCUCCAGCCAGCUAGUAUCCAAACAAGAGCAUUCCCCUGAUCAACAUCAUUGACUGGAAUUGCACUUGGAAAGGAUGCACACCAGUGCAGUUACUGUCACACCCUCAGGACUCAGUUCCAGGUAGGAAGCUGUGCUCCCAACCCAGUGGUCUCAAAAAGUGGUAGCAACCAAUCAUCUAGAUACAAAAUGAGUGGGAGAAUGAAAAGGAGGAACCAUUUACCACCAACAGGUUAGGCAGAACUCAACCUGCAUCAUCCUAUUAGCUCUCCCAGAAGCAAGUGAGCAGGAAGGAUGACAGAGAAGAGCUUUGAACUGGAACUCACUGGCAGAGGAAAGGGUGGGGGGGUUGUAAGGACCGUAGCCUUCUCACCUUCCAAAGUCCCCAAAGGAGUAAUGGGUACCUUGUGCAUGUGUACUGGUUCUCCCUCUAAUCUCAGCCACCUCAAUUGUUCCUGAGCACGAAACUCCAUUUCAUUGAAAAAAAGGAUAACAGAAUCUGUGUAUUCCUGAUGCAAAACAUUCCACUGCAACCCAAAAAAACCAAAAGAGAACUAUUUAACUAAGUAUUUUCCCCAUUUUUUGUCUAAGGUAAUUCCAAAUAAUGAGCAGGGGAAGGGAAAUUCACUAUGUUAUCCAGGUUCAUCCUAAAUCAGAUUGCAAGAUAUAUUAGAAAAAUAUAGCAUUUCACUUUAGAUAUGAUUGAAUAAGAAUUCCUACCUGGACUUAAUUAUCUUAACUAGACUUUCCAAUGGUUUUGUCCUAUUGCACUCUGAUUUAAACAGGUAUAACACAAUUUUGAAUCAUAUUUAAACAAGGUACCUCAACCAAUUUAAACUAUAUUUAGACCACAGUCUUUUUUUACUGCCACAGUUUUUACUGCUAAAGAAACCUAACAGAGGAACAACAUGCGUAGAACAUCUGUCGCAGUGACUGAAAGAAGUCUAUGACAGGAAUAGCAAACAGUUAUUUUCUUUCCUGAGAUGAUGUCAAUCUGUUGAAGCCAAGUAUCAGUAAGUAGAUUGUUUCUAAAAGGUACCUCACUCUGGCCUGUCUUCUCCAAAACAAAGAUGAUUAAAAUACCCCCUUGCUGCAUAA